ensembl:lncRNA
CGUCAUGUAUCUCAUUCCUUUUCACUCGGUUUGGAAAUGGCUCGCUGUGUAUCGCGAGUGUGUAAUGUGCUUGUUUUACGCGGUUGUUUCUUUAUGGCGGUUAACAUCGGCUUGUAAACAAAAAGCCCGUCUACGUCAGCCACUAUGUAGCCAAAAUGUCGUCUUUUAUUUGACUUCCACAUUCUAUGUCCCAUGCCACAAACCGAUGGCGUCGUGAGGGGGGGAUGGAGGGAGUGUGAAAGAGACCCACAAACGAGUAGCGAGGCCACACUAGGUAUCCCCAUCUCAGAGCUGAGCGCUCCAUGCCACUAGCGGGUCUGGCCGAACCUAUCUUUAGUAGGCCCGUCCAGAACCUGUCUUUCUUCAACUUAGUUUUCCUGUCAAGUUAUCGGCCCAUUUAAAGAUACAGCGCGUGUUCAGAGGCUAAUAAUGACCAACCAAUUGAAACAAGUCCCGAUGUUUUUUUUGUGCUGGUGGAUACAUUUGGUACGACCAUGGAGGAAUGGUUAGGCUACUUUGAAACUGAUAAUGUAGGUCUGCCAGGUCUGAGUUGGUGAAGAUACGUUGUUGCAGACACUCCAUUGCAUCAACAUGCAAUAGACUCGAGGCUGAUGCUUCUUGUUCCAAAUGAAUGGAUUUCUGACCCAAUCUCUAGUCUUUUGUGAAGCAUCAGCAUUAGCCUCAACUACAGUUAUAAUCUAGUUAGUCCAGGGGAACACAGAUCUGGCCCUAGGAGGUCUGGAGUACUGCUGCUUUUCUGUUCUACCUGAUAAUGAAUUGCACCCACAAUACAGUCAGGGACAGAUAUUUAGGCAACACAGUGAUAUGGAUUAUUGUACUGCAUUACAGGUACGCCCAAUGUAAUAGAUCAUUAAUAGUAGUCAGAUCUUGGUGAAUAAACACUGUCGCAGGUAGUGCACUGCAUACCAGGUGCUACUGAACAUCUGGUUUAUGAGUUGAUAGUCUGGUACUGGAGAUUAUAGUAAUGUCAUGGAGGUGGUACAGUAGAUUAUAGUAAUAGUAAUGUCAUGGAGGUGGUACAGUAGAUUAUAGUAAUGUCAUGGAGGUGGUACAGUAGAUUAUAGUAAUGUCAUGGAGGUGGUACAGUAGGUUAUAGUAAUGUCAUGGAGGUGGUACAGUAGAUUAUAGUAAUGUCAUGGAGGUGGUACAGUAGAUUAUAGUAAUGUCAUGGAGGUGGUACAGUAGUUAUAGUAAUGUCAUGGAGGUGGUACAUAGAUUAUAGUAAUGUCAUGGAGGUGGUACAGUAGAUUAUAGUAAUGUCAUAGAGGUGGUACAGUAGAUUAUAGUAAUGUCAUGGAGGUGAUACAGUAGAUUAUAGUAAUGUCAUGGAGGUGGUAUAGUAGAUUAUAGUAAUAGUAAUGUCAUGGAGGUGGUACAGUAGAUUAUAGUACUAGUAAUGUCAUGGAGGUGGUACAGUAGGUUAUAGUAAUGUCAUGGAGGUGGUACAGUAGAUUAUAGUAAUGUCAUGGAGGUGGUACAGUAGGUUAUAGUAAUGUCAUGGAGGUGGUAUAGUAGUUUAUAGUACUAGUAAUGUCAUGGAGGUGGUACAGUAGGUUAUAGUAAUGUCAUGGAGGUGGUACAGAAGAUUAUAGUAAUAGUAAUGUCAUGGAGGUGGUACAGAAGAUUAUAGUAAUAGUAAUGUCAUGGAGGUGGUACAGUAGAUUAUAGUAAUAAUAAUGUCAUGGAGGGGGUACAGUAGAUUAUAGUAAUGCCAUGGAGGAUGGUAUAGUAGAUUAUAGUAAUGCCAUGGAGAUGGUACAGUAGAUUAUAGUAAUGUCAUGGAGGUGGUACAGUAGAUUAUAGUAAUGUCAUGGAGGUGGUACAGUAGAUUAUAGUAAUGUCAUGGAGGUGGUACAGUAGAUUAUAGUAAUAGUAAUGUCAUGGAGGUGGUACUGUAUAUUAUAGUAAUGUCAUGGAGGUGAUAUAGUAGAUUAUAGUAAUGUCAUGGAGGUGGUAUAGUAGAUUAUAGUAAUAGUAAUGUCAUGGAGGUGGUACAGUAGAUUAUAGUAAUAGUAAUGUCAUGGAGGUGGUACAGUACUUGUUAGUAUUGCUAACCUUCGGAUUACAGAGGCUCAGUGGGGUUCCAAAAUAGCGGCCCUGGUGUUCAGUGCUGGUAUUACCGAAUGUCCCUGGAUGGCACAAGGUCGGUAUGAAGGUAUGAUGAUCUUUAUAUCACCCAAACCUACCAGGCUGUGAUAGACUGACAGGAUGCUCUCAAUGGUGCAUCUGUAGGCGGUCUUAGGGGGCCAACCUCCUGAUAUUGAAGAGAUGCUGUUACACCAUUUUCACUCAACUCUGUAACUGUUUUAAAGUUACAGUUGGCCUUAUGAAAUCCCUGAACAGUUUCCUUUCUCUCUGACAACUGAGUUAGGAAGGACGUCUGUAUCUUUGUAGUGACUGGGUAUAAUGAUACGCCAUCCAAAUUGUAAUUAAUAACUUCACCAUGUGCAAAGGGAUAUCCAAUGUUCAAUAUCCAUCUACCAAUAGGUGCCCUUCUUUACGAGGCAUUGGAAAACGUCCCUGGUCAAAAUGUGGAAAAAGUCAAGAGGCGUGAAUACUUUCUGAAGGUACUGUAGGUCCUUAGUGAUGUGGACACCGAGGAGCCUAAAGCUCUCAACCCGCUCCACUACAGCCCUGUCGAUGUGAAUGGGGGCGUGCUUGGUUCUCCGUUUCCUGUAGUCCACCAUCAACCAGUUUUGAUAGUAAAGUGGAAAGUGCAAGAACAAAAUUAUGUUUGGAUUCUUGCGAGGGCAUAGUGUACUGUCGUCUUGUUAUAGUCUUGUGUCUCGCUCUUCCGGCGCCUGGACGCUCUUCCGGCGCCGACAGAGAUGGCCGCCUCGCUUCGCGUUCCUAGGAAACUAUGCAGUUUUUUGUUUUUUUACGUGUUAUUUCUUACAUUAGUACCCCAGGUCAUCUUAGG